AAGGAUUUCAGUAACUCAGUGCUGGGUUAGGGGUUGUUAUAAGAAGUGAUGGGUGGGGUUCUGUGGCUGCUUUGUGCAGGAGGGCAGACUGAUGACCAUAAUGGUACACUUCUUGACCUUAAAGGUC